rnacentral:lncRNA from 1 species
UCUCGGCCACGUUGGAGCCCUUCAGGCCGGAGAGAAAAGCUCGUUUGUUCCCGAACUUAGCAGUAAGAACCUAUUGCUGAAGACACCACAUACUUGAAAAUCAAUCUGGUGCUGAUGAAGCUUUAUGCCUGCUGGCCAGCUUUGAUAGUGCUGAGAGACUGAGACUGUGUAACCCAGGAUGUCAGAUGGCCUUAACUCCUGAUUCCCUGCUUCACUUCUGAAAUACUGGAAUUAUAGUGUUGGAGAUUAAAUAUGAGGCAAGUUUCACCACUGAGCUUCGGCUCCUCCAACUACCAGAUUUUUCCGCAGAGACAGAAGUUUCACAGGAUCAUAAGCAAGCCAACAUUAGAUUUGGAAAGAAAGG